rnacentral:rRNA from 1 species
UACGUAGGGUGCAAGCGUUGUCCGGAAUCAUUGGGCGUAAAGAGCGUGUAGGCGGUUCGAUCAGUCCGCUGUGAAAGUCCAGGGCUCAACCCUGGGAUGCCGGUGGAUACUGUCGAACUAGAGUCCGGAAGGGGCGAGUGGAAUUCCUGGUGUAGCGGUGAAAUGCGCAGAUAUCAGGAGGAACACCGGUGGCGAAGGCGGGUCUCUGGGCAGUAACUGACGCUGAGGAGCGAAAGCGUGGGGAGCGAACAGG